rnacentral:piRNA from 1 species
UCAAAUCAGAACCAAGACCGAUCAACCGC